GCCGACUUAGCUCAAUUGGUAGAGCAAUUGACUUGUAAUCAAUAGGUUGUGGGUUCAAUUCCUAUAGUCGGCACCA
rnacentral:tRNA from 1 species